rnacentral:SRP_RNA from 1 species
GCUGGGUGUGGUGGCAUACGCCUGUAGUCCCAGCUGCUCGGGAGGCUGAGGCAGGAGAAUCGCUUGAACCCGGGAGGUGGAGGUUGCAGUGAGCUGAGAUCAUGCCACUGCACUCCACCCUGGGUGACAGAGUGAGAUUCUGUCUCUA